rnacentral:rRNA from 1 species
UACGUAGGGUGCAAGCGUUAAUCGGAAUUACUGGGCGUAAAGCGUGCGCAGGCGGUUAUGCAAGACAGAUGUGAAAUCCCCGGGCUCAACCUGGGAACUGCAUUUGUGACUGCAUGGCUGGAGUGCGGCAGAGGGGGAUGGAAUUCCGCGUGUAGCAGUGAAAUGCGUAGAGAUGCGGAGGAACACCGAUGGCGAAGGCAGCCCCCUGGGCUAACACUGACGCUCAGGCACGAAAGCGUGGGGAGCAAACAGG